GGAGGAAUAUUGGUCAAUGGGCGGAAGCCUGAACCAGCCAAGUAGCGUGAGGGAUGACUGCCCUAUGGGUUGUAAACCUCUUUUAUAAGGGAAUAAAAUACGGGACGUGUCCUGUUUUGCAUGUACCUUAUGAAUAAGGACCGGCUAAUUCCGUGCCAGCAGCCGCGGUAAUACGGAAGGUCCGGGCGUUAUCCGGAUUUAUUGGGUUUAAAGGGAGCGCAGGCCGUGGGUUAAGCGUGUCGUGAAAUUCCGUCGCUCAACGGCGGACGUGCGGCGCGAACUGGUCCACUUGAGUACGCGGGACGUUGGCGGAAUUCGUGGUGUAGCGGUGAAAUGCUUAGAUAUCACGAAGAACUCCGAUUGCGAAGGCAGCUGACGGUAGCGCAACUGACGCUGAGGCUCGAAAGUGCGGGUAUCGAACAGGAUUAGAUACCCUGGUAGU
rnacentral:rRNA from 1 species